ensembl:lncRNA
CAGCAGUCUGUGCUCUGUGACCUAAGUGUGACUUCAGCCGCAUUCUGACAUAUAAGAUCUUUCCACUGCCUCAUCGUUGCUAUGGCAACCUCCUAUUGACGAUGCAUUUACAGUCGAAGGCUGGUUGGCUCCCCAGCAGGGACAUGGAAAGCUCCCAAGCCAGCAGCACAAUCAUCCUCUGACGACAGGGCUUUUGAGGCUCUUGCCUGGCUAUACCGAGUAGGAGUUGUCCUGAGGAGUGUGAGAAGAAAAGCUGUCUCAUGAGAAGCUAUGUUAACUUCAGCCUGGUCCGCAGGCUCAUCUCACCUCUGGGGAGAUCUGAAUUUCACCGAUGUUGUCAAUCAGAAUGUGCAAGUCUUUAGCCAUCUGAACGUGGCCGGAGGGGUCAGUAGAGAGGAAGCCAGGGAAAUGUCAGACAAUCUGCCUCUGUCUUUCUACAUGAGUAUUCCUGAUCGCCUGCUGUUAUGGGAUCGCAGUGAUGGGGCAAGAUCUUUUUGGAUUAACCAGCUGCAUCAGAGCUCAACCUACAUGCCCAGUAUCCUGGUUCCUGCUUCUUACCUGGCCACUAACAGCCCUUUCUCAGCUGCCUUUAGUAGCAUCAGACUAAUAAGAAUGAUCUCUCCAAUAAGCAAAUCCGUAAAGGAUCAAGCCUGUGGUGAGGACACCCCCAUGGUAGCUGAAAGCAUGGUGAAUCUUGAAGAGGGGUAAGUGGAAUGAAUCCCUUGUCUCUGGGCUCAACACACAACACUCACAACUCACAAAGGCGAGAGGGUUCGAGAACCUUGAAGUUUGACCAUGUUGAGUUGGCACAUGUUCUUUUGAGAAUGGUGCACCUGCUUUAUUGGGCAGUGAGCAGAGUUACAUAGGAAACUCUAAUCAUAGUUGCUACCUUCAGGGAAUUUACCCGUGAGCGGGGGAGAGACAUCCCAGCUGGUUGUAUGCACACAAGAAAAGCAUGUUGGGUGGGGCAGCUAGGUGGCACAGUGGAUACAGCACUGGCCCUGGAGUCAGGAGGACCUGAGUUCAAAUCCAGUCUCAGACCAGACACUUGACACUUACUAGCUGUGUGACCCCGGGCAAGUCACUUAACCCCGAUUGCCUUGCAAAAAAAAAAAAAAAAAGAAAGAAAGGCAUAUGAACACAUUCAGCAGACUAGUACGAUUCUGUUGGGGUGCACCCUUAGACAAAGUCCUUCUUUCUCCAGGACUUAGUUUCUCUAUGUGCCCUGAGCCAAUCCCUACGGUCUUGAAUUGUCUGGAUUGACAGAGGAGCUAACUAUCUAUGAGAGAUGUGGCUGCUCAGAAGGUUUCAGCUAGUGUUUUUCAAUGAACACUCCCUCUCCAUAAUUCUAUUUUCAAAUACCUGAAGAGUUGUUUUUUUCUUUUAUUUUUUUCCUGCUAUUGUUUCUGCUGUGGUCCGUGACAGCAAAGAGGAAUUCUUGGUAUGCUCCUGCUGCCCACCUGGAUUUUGAGAAUGCUUGGUUUCCUAUCAUUGCCGCUGAGGUUGGUGGAGCCCAGGCAUAGGAGUUUGGAGGCCAAACUUCGGAGCGUGGCUCACUGUCACCCCAAAUUGAAUUCCAAUGAGUGUUUUUAAUUCAGCAAACAUUUAAUGAGCCUCUACUUUGGACAGCCCAAAGCAGAAAUUCGAGGAGAUACACAUACUAUCUGUCUUUAAAGAGCUUUCAGUUUAAUGGGGGGACAUGACCUAG